rfam:Astyanax mexicanus chromosome 22, whole genome shotgun sequence.
GGUCCCAUGGUGUAAUGGUUAAUCACUCUGGACUUUGACUCCAGCGAUCCGAGUUCGAAUCUCGGUGGGACCU